GACAGAGGCAGCGAGCGUUGUUCGGAGUUACUGGGCGUAAAGGGUGUGUAGGCGGUUGUUUAAGUUUGGUGUGAAAUCUCCCGGCUCAACUGGGAGGGUGCGCCGAAUACUGAAUGACUUGGAGUGCGGGAGAGGUGAGUGGAAUUCCUGGUGUAGCGGUGAAAUGCGUAGAUAUCAGGAGGAACACCGGUGGUGUAGACGGCUCACUGGACCGUAACUGACGCUGAGACACGAAAGCGUGGGUAGCAAACAGG
rnacentral:rRNA from 1 species